UUCUAAAGUCCAGUUUCAUACUUCUGCUUCUCGGAGAAGCCUGCUUCUCGGAGGCUUCCCCCGACCACUCGCGGCGCAAAGAGGUGUUUCAACUCUGCCUGCUGCCAGGACUGAAGGUGGGCCGCCCCAUUGCCCGCCUGGAGCAGAGGAAGAGGGCGUGGCCAGAGCGGAGGCCAGGAGGGUGCCUGUUGCAUCUGCGCUCUGUCUGGAAAACUGACAGUUACUGGUCUGGGUGCCUUUUGUGCUCCCAGAGGUGAGCUGAGUUCACUCUCCAAUCAUCUGGUCUGACCUCAGCCCUCUCUAUGCCGGAUACCAAACGGCCUAGGUGCAGAGUGCCGGCUCAUCUGGGACAGAGACAAGCAAGAGAUCUCUCAGCAGAGUGAAUGGAUAGAGGAAAGCAAGCUUGGAACUCCUGAUACAGUCCAAGCAAAAGACGACGCUUCACAAACCAGCUCUCUGGAAGAAGUCACCUGCUAUGUGCUGAAGCAGCCUUGUGGAGAGGCCCAUGUGGUGGGGACAGAGGCUGCUAACAACCGUACGAGUGAACAUAGAAGCUCAUCCCACCCUCCAGUCCUAGCUGGGCCUUCAUAUGAGAAGGCAGCCCUGUCUGACACCUUGACUGCAAUUUCAUGGGAGACUUUGAAUCAGAGAAACUCAACUACACUGUGCCCAGAUU